CAACAACAAAGCCUUUAGUCCCAAACAAGUUGGGGUAGGCUAGAGGUGAAACCCAUAAGAUCUCGCAACCAACUCAUGGCUCUGGCACAUGGAUAGCAAGCUUCCACGCACCCCUAUCCAUAGCUAGCUCUUUGUCGAUACUCCAAUCCUUCAGGUCUCUCUUAACGGACUCCUCCCAUGUCAAAAUCGGUCGACCCCGCCCUCUCUUGACAUUCUCCGCACGCUUUAGCCGUCCGCUAUGCACUGGAGCUUCUGGAGGCCUGCGCUGAAUAUGCCCAAACCAUCUCAAACGAUGUUGGACAAGCUUCUCCUCAAUUGGUGCUACCCCAACUCUAUCUCGUAUAUCAUCAUUCCGGAC
rnacentral:rRNA from 1 species